rnacentral:tRNA from 1 species
GGAAAGGUGGGUGAGUGGCUGAAACCAACAGUUUGCUAAACUGUCGUACGGGUUUACUGUACCGGGGGUUCGAAUCCCCCCCUUUCCG